AUGAAGAUGAGGAAACUUUAUGAACACCUUCUGAGAAAAUUACAAGCUUCACCUCCUGCUGAAAGUUCUAUACCAGCAGCUGGACCAUCCUCUGCUGACAGUGUCGAUGCUGGACCAGUCCCAGACCCAGAGGCUCUAAACGAGGAAUUUAUUCUGCAUUUAGAGCCUGUACCAACAUCUUCCCUCUGUCAGCCUCCUGCAUCCUCCUCUCCAUCUCUGCUUCCUCCUGCACCCUCCUCUUCAUCUCUGCUUCCUCCUGCAUCCUCCUCUCUGUCUUUGCUUCCUCCUGCAUCCUCCUCUCCAUCUCUGCUUCGUCCUGCAUCCUCCUCUCUGUCUUUGCUUCCUCCUGCAUCCUCCUCUCCAUCUCUGCUUCCUCCUGCAUGCUCCUCUUCGUCUGUGCUUCCUCCUGCAUCCUCCUCUCAAUCUCCGCUUCCUGCAUCUCCCUCAAUUUCUACGGCGUACACCUCGGAUGUCCCAAACAAAAAAAGGACAAGGAAAGGUUAGACGUUAUGGUAUUGUAAAUGUACGAAACACAUGACAGGUUUGUAAAGUUUGUUAAGAUUUCUUUUUCUUAUUUUUUGCAUUUUGUCCAGUUUUACAGACCUUAUGUAAAUGUUUCAUUUGUUAUUUUUCAGAAUGCCGAAAACACCGUACACAGAAGAUUUUCAAAUAUGAAGAGAUAGUAGACAGGAGAGUUGUAAAUGUAAGCAAUUUAGCCUGCUGUUGUGCAGAUUUGUUUGCGUCUUUGUUUGCGUCUAUAUCUUGUAAAGCACUUUGUGAUCUCUAUCUAGAAAUGUGCUAUAUAAAUAAAAUUUUACUUACUUACUUACUUACUUACUUCCAGGAUUUGAACUGUGCCUGCCUGACUAUUGUAGGAAUGUUUAGCUUAUUUUAGAGUUUAGACAUGUAGGAAUGUUUAGUUUGUUUUAGAGUUUAGAAAUGUGUUAAGAUAGAAUGUAGAAUUAUGGUAGAGACACUGACACUGCCCUGGAUAUAAAUAAAGGCCUGACUGUGUCAUGAACUUAGGAGUAGAUCUUAGGAGACCCUCCCCAGUUGAACGGUGAAAGUAAGACAAAGAGGAGUUAAUGCUGAGUGGAAAUUCCCCAGAGGAUACCUGUGUGGGGGUCUCAACAUUUAACUUGAUAACUGUGGUCUGGAGGGGAGAUGGUAUUUAUGGCCCCUAGGAAGAGACACACACCCACAGUGUUUUAACUGAUACACUCACACAUCCACAUGCACACUCACUCACGUGCACGCACAUACCAGGUAUGCACACACAGUCACUCACGAGCACUCACAUAGACACGCGGGUACGCGCACACACAGGCACUCACGUGCUCAUGCACAUAGACACAGACACAGAGUUUGCAACACAUUGUGGGGGAUUUAUGAUGGGGUCGCCUCUAUAAAGCUCGCUGGAACUAACAAAGGGGUGAAGAUUGUUUCAGAGGGACACCGGCCUCGUCUUCCCUUCUAGAAGUGCAUGCUUAAAUGAAGAUGAAUAAAGAUGAAUAAAGAUUUUGUAAAAAUGACUACUGGGUCCGGUGCCAUCUCUGAAGGCCCGAGGAAUAAUAAAGAACCGGGGUAAAACUGAUUUCCCAACACUAUCUAUAAGCUUUUGUAUUUGAUGAAUCUACACUAAUUCAGCCACUGAGUCUGGAUUUCGCUCCAAGUAGGACAUUAAAUAGGAACAUACCACCUGAUACAACCUGGUUGUGCUGCCUUCCUGGUGUUUACGUUCUUUAAAGUCCUCCUGACAUCAUGCUCAGAAGGAGUGAUUGAUGUGGAGGUGCUCCUUCCCAUUCAGUAACAUCUGCUUCAGUUAGUUUUGCUUCUUAGCCACAAUGUAAGCAAUGUCGCUUUGCUGACAUGCACUCGAUGGUGGCAGUACAAGCAUUGUAGUGGUUCUUAUGUUUUUGUAAACUAAUUGUAUAAUAUAUUGAGCCAUUCAAUAGUACACAAAUGUUUAUAAGCUCCUUUUUGUAUGCAACUUGCAUGUCUUUCUGAAUUAACUGUUUGUUUAUAUCAUGUUUUUCAGGAAAAAGAAGAAGUUAAAGUCAAGUGGAAGCCCUGCU
ensembl:lncRNA